rnacentral:rRNA from 1 species
GAUCAUGGCUCAGGAUGAGCGCUAGCUACAGGCUUAACACAUGCAAGUCGAGGGGAAACGACAUCGAAAGCUUGCUUUUAGAUGGGCGUCGACCGGCGCACGGGUGAGUAACGCGUAUCCAACCUGCCCACCACUUGGGGAUAACCUUGCGAAAGUAAGACUAAUACCCAAUGAUAUCUCUAGAAGACAUCUGAAAGAGAUUAAAGAUUUUAUCGGUGAUGGAUGGGGAUGCGU